rnacentral:rRNA from 1 species
GACAUGCGCGCUUACCAUGCAAGUCGAGGGGUAUAGGUUUUCGGACCUAGAGACCGGCGCACGGGUGCGUAACGCGUAUGCAAUCUACCUUUUGCAGAGGGAUAGCCCAGAGAAAUUUGGAUUAAUACCUCAUAGUAUAGUACCUUGGCAUCAAGGAACUAUUAAAGUCACAACGGCAAAAGAUGAGCAUGCGUCCCAUUAGCUAGAUGGUAAGGUAACGGCUUACCAUGGCUACGAUGGGUAGGGGUCCUGAGAGGGAGAUCCCCCACACUGGUACUGAGACACGGACCAGACUCCUACGGGAGGCAGCAGUGAGGAAUAUUGGACAAUGGGCGCAAGCCUGAUCCAGCCAUGCCGCGUGCAGGAUGACGGUCCUAUGGAUUGUAAACUGCUUUUACACAGGAAGAAACAACGCUACGUGUAGCGUCUUGACGGUACUGUGAGAAUAAGGAUCGGCUAACUCCGUGCCAGCAGCCGCGGUAAUACGGAGGAUCCAAGCGUUAUCCGGAAUCAUUGGGUUUAAAGGGUCCGUAGGCGGUUUAGUAAGUCAGUGGUGAAAGCCCAUCGCUCAACGGUGGAACGGCCAUUGAUACUGCUAGACUUGAAUUAUUAGGAAGUAACUAGAAUAUGUAGUGUAGCGGUGAAAUGCUUAGAGAUUACAUGGAAUACCAAUUGCGAAGGCAGGUUACUACUAAUGGAUUGACGCUGAUGGACGAAAGCGUGGGUAGCGAACAGGAUUAGAUACCCUGGUAGUCCACGCCGUAAACGAUGGAUACUAGCUGUUGGGAGUAAUUUCAGUGGCUAAGCGAAAGUGAUAAGUAUCCCACCUGGGGAGUACGUUCGCAAGAAUGAAACUCAAAGGAAUUGACGGGGGCCCGCACAAGCGGUGGAGCAUGUGGUUUAAUUCGAUGAUACGCGAGGAACCUUACCAAGGCUUAAAUGUAAAUUG